rnacentral:rRNA from 1 species
UGGGGAAUUGUUCACAAUGGGCGCAAGCCUGAUGACGCAACGCCGCGUGGGGGAUGAAGGUCUUCGGAUCGUAAACCCCUGUCGAAUGGGACGAAAGACUCGCGAGUGAAUACUUCGCGAGAGUGACGGUACCGUUAAAGGAAGCCACGGCUAACUCUGUGCCAGCAGCCGCGGUAAUACAGAGGUGGCAAGCGUUGUUCGGAAUUACUGGGCGUAAAGGGCGCGUAGGCGGCCCUCUAAGUCAGACGUGAAAUCUCCGGGCUUAACUCGGAACGGUCAGAUGAUACUGCUUUGCUAGAGUGCAGAAGGGGCAAUCGGAAUUCUUGGUGUAGCGGUGAAAUGCGUAGAUAUCAAGAGGAACACCUGAGGUGAAGACGGGUUGCUGGGCUGACACUGACGCUGAGGCGCGAAAGCCAGGGGAGCAAACGGGAUUAGAUACCCGAGUAGUCCCUGAGCGGGCUGGCAAGGCGCAU